AUACGGAGGAUCCGAGCGUUAUCCGGAUUUAUUGGGUUUAAAGGGUGCGCAGGCGGCCAUUUAAGUCAGCGGUUAAAUCGUGGGGCUCAACCCCAUUCUGCCGUUGAUACUGGGUGGCUUGAUUGCGGUCGAGGUUGGCGGAAUUCGUUGUGUAGCGGUGAAAUGCAUAGAUAUGACGAAGAACACCGAUUGCGUAGGCAACUGGCCAGACCGCAAAUGACGCUCAUGCACGAAAGUGCGGGGAUCGAACAGGAUUAGAUAUCCUGGUAGGCCGCACAGUAAACGAUGAAUACUUGUUUUCGGCGAUAUAAUGUCGGAGGCAAAGCGAAAGCGAUAAGUAUUCCUCCUGGGGAGUACGCCGGCAACAGUGAAACUCAAAUGAAUUGACGGGG
rnacentral:rRNA from 1 species